UGAUGCUGUAGAUGGGAUACUCCGGGAACCGGGGCUAAUACCGGAUGGUUGUUUGAACCGCAUGGUUCAGACAUAAAAGGUGGCUUCGGCUACCACUUACAGAUGGACCCGCGGCGCAUUAGCUAGUUGGUGAGGUAACGGCUCACCAAGGCGACGAUGCGUAGCCGACCUGAGAGGGUGAUCGGCCACACUGGGACUGAGACACGGCCCAGACUCCUACGGGAGGCAGCAGUAGGGAAUCUUCCGCAAUGGACGAAAGUCUGACGGAGCAACGCCGCGUGAGUGAUGAAGGUUUUCGGAUCGUAAAGCUCUGUUGUUAGGGAAGAACAAGUGCCGUUCAAAUAGGGCGGCACCUUGACGGUACCUAACCAGAAAGCCACGGCUAACUACGUGCCAGCAGCCGCGGUAAUACGUAGGUGGCAAGCGUUGUCCGGAAUUAUUGGGCGUAAAGGGCUCGCAGGCGGUUUCUUAAGUCUGAUGUGAAAAGCCCCCCGGCUCAACCGGGGAGGGUCAUUGGAAACUGGGGAACUUGAGUGCAGAAGAGGAGAGUGGAAUUCCACGUGUAGCGGUGAAAUGCGUAGAGAUGUGGAGGAACACCAGUGGCGAASGCGACUCUYUGGUCUGUAACUGACGCUGAGGAGCGAAAGCGUGGGGAGCGAACAGGAUUAGAUACCCUGGUAGUCCACGCCGUAAACGAUGAGUGCUAAGUGUUAGGGGGUUUCCGCCCCUUAGUGCUGCAGCUAACGCAUUAAGCACUCCGCCUGGGGAGUACGGUCGCAAGACUGAAACUCAAAGGAAUUGACGGGGGCCCGCACAAGCGGUGGAGCAUGUGGUUUAAUUCGAAGCAACGCGAAGAACCUUACCAGGUCUUGACAUCCUCUGACAAUCCUAGAGAUAGGACGUCCCCUUCGGGGGCAGAGUGACAGGUGGUGCAUGGUUGUCGUCAGCUCGUGUCGUGAGAUGUUGGGUUAAGUCCCGCAACGAGCGCAACCCUUGAUCUUAGUUGCCAGCAUUCAGUUGGGCACUCUAAGGUGACUGCCGGUGACAAACCGGAGGAAGGUGGGGAUGACGUCAAAUCAUCAUGCCCCUUAUGACCUGGGCUACACACGUGCUACAAUGGACAGUUCAAAGGGCAGCGAAACCGCGAGGUUAAGCCAAUCCCACAAAU
rnacentral:rRNA from 1 species